rnacentral:rRNA from 1 species
GAUGAACGCUGGCGGCGUGCCUAACACAUGCAAGUCGAACGUGAGCCCGACUUCGGUUGGGUGAAAGUGGCGAACGGGUGAGUAACACGUUGGUGACCUGCCCCGAGAAGGGGGAUAACUCCUCGAAAGAGGAGCUAAAACCCCGGAUGUCUGGAAUGUUAGAGAUUACAGACUAAAACUGAGGUGUCUUGGGAGGGGCCUGCGGGCUAUCAGCUAGUUGGUGAGGUAAUGGCUCACCAAGGCGAAGACGGCUAGGGGGCGUGAGAGCGUGACCCCCCACAAGGGAACUGAGAGACGGUCCCUACUCCUACGGGAGGCUG